rnacentral:lncRNA from 1 species
CCAGAUUGUUGAUUUUUUUAGCUCCGAUUAUUCUCCUUAAUCCCAAUAAUUUUAUAUGUGGCCGGAUAUUGUACAGCAUUGCUAAAAGUAGAUUUUCAGGAUAUCCAAAAAAAGAACUUCUUUGUAUAACAGGAUCAAUAAUCUUUUUAAAGUCAGCGCUCAAACAUCGAAAAAAUUCUAUUCAUUUGUAGAUGUGGGUCCGUCCUUGUAUAAACGAACUUUCUUUCUUUAUACAAAACCAGACAGGGACAUAAACUUUUAAAAUGUAUUACAUGAAUUUAAUUAAUUGAGAAGAAGGGUUUGAUGACGCUAUGUAUAGUUUUAAGAUUCUGUUAGCCGUUGUUAAACAUCUUGAAUGAGAUAUUGUUCCUGGAUUUCUGUUAGACAAGCUUUGAGAACAUGAGCCGCUACUUAUAGCUUGACACAUUUGGUAUUUCUGAUCUGUAAACAGACUAUUUUCAGUUUCCUUCAGAAAAACAGGCACGUUUAACGAUAUAGCAAAAAACUCAGUGACAGGAAGAUCCGUCAAGUUUUCCAAUGCUUUCCCUAUUGGCCCGGAAUGGAGUUGAGAGCUGCUGGUUGCUCCAUAUAAUUUUAUAAACAAUUGCCGAAAGGAUAGUUCAUUCGCAUGUAGUAGACAAAUAAACCAGUGCGAUGAUCUGCCUAAAAGACUUGGAAACAAAAUAAAAAAAGAUGUACUGAACAAUUAAUAACAAACGUAAGCGCGGAGUUCCUUUCUGCCAUUCUUCUUCGGAUAGUCAUCACUUAGAUAGCUAGUGAAAGGCUGGUAGGUUAGCUAGAUUAGGGCUUAUGUCCUCGCCCGUGAGGAACGCGUUAUCCUUUUUAUUUCCCCCCUACCUGCCCGCCGAGCUAGUUACUUCGGUUUGUACCUUGUAUUCAUUAUAAAUUUUAUCCCUAAUUUAAAAUGAUCAGAGUUAUAUAAUGAAUUUUAAUUGUUAUUUAGAAAUAAUAAUUAUAAUUAUUCUUAUACAUUGUUUUGACGUAUAAUAAGUUUAACUUUGUUUCCUACGUGAUAAAUAAAGUAUUUUAUUUUAUGCAAAUGGGAAACGAUUAACCCCACCUUUCUAACAAGUUUUUGUAGCAGUUCGGUCGCAUCCAAUAGCCAACGAAUUGUUCAAAUUUAUAUGAUUUUUAGUAAAAAACAAGUGUAUUGAAUUCGCUAUGGCUUUUCCUGUACCACACAACGUAGUUAUAAGCCCUAAAUAGGGUGAUCCUGGCUUCAUUAUUAAAGCAAUAUGUUCUCUUGUAACCGUAAUUAUAGUUUAUUUUGUUCGUAUUCGCGUUGUGUUUUUAUUGCUUAGUUGUUAUGUUUUCAAUGUAUGGACUAUUUAUAGAUAUAAAUAUAGUUAUUUAAGGUAUUUUGAGUUACCUAACAAUAUAAGAAAUAAUCACUUCUUGCUAUAUGAUAUAUUUCAAAAUAUCUCGAUUUGACGAUUUUUCGUGAACUUCAAUCGUCGGUAGAGGGCUAAAAAUAGGUUCCAAUAUUUUUUUUUAUAUUUUUUUAAAAAAAUUGGGUAUGAUAUGCAACUUUAUAGUGCUAUUCAACAUCGAAAAUAUAAAAAAAAAUUGACGCUCCACCCUACUGUCCACUAGUAGGCGUCGCACUCCGUGCUAUAUAACCUUUUGUUUAUAAGUGUCUGCGCCUAGCCCUGAAUAUCCAGCUAUAGAUAAAAUAUUCUUUAUGGGUCCUAUGUAAUUUGUACCUACACCAAAAAUAUAACGAACGGAAAUUGAGAAUCACAUACUUACAUAAUCAAAACGUAUUUUUCUAAGCUGAGUUCAUACGGAUACACGACCACCAGUGAAUACUCUUUGCAGAAUGUGAUUUUCAUCAAAGCUAGCCGAAAACAAAACGAAAAAAGAAUCAAUGACAGAAGACAGAAAAAAACAAAAUCCCGUGUGAUGUGAUCAAAAUUGUAAGUGUACAGAAAUACAAGAAGAAAGUGAAACAUGGCGCAGUCUCGCAGGAUGUGAGCGCGGACACGACUCCCAGCUGACUCCGCAACAUGUCGAGCGAGCGAGUGUGGUGCCUCAUUUGUCUGCUGAUGCAGAUAGUGGGCGCCUUCGCGUGCAAAAAGAAACCGUCGUGUCGCCCGCCGCGCUGUCCCGGCGGCUGCAAGCCCAAGUACUGGUGACCGGCGCCGCAACUCCUGCCAUCUCAACUCGGAGCUUAUAAAGUUUUCAACCAUACUGUUUCAAACACUACGAUGUGGUGGUGGGUGUGGUGGGUGGUGUGGGAGUUGGUAGCGACGGCGCGCGGCUGCAAGAAGCGCACCAUCUGCCGCCCGCCGCCCGGCGGCAAGCCCGGCUGCGGCGGCCGCGGCAAAUGACGUUAGAGCGCCGCACCUCAGUGCUGAACACACUCCGUAACCAUUUGUGCAUCGACACCUCCAUGUAACAUCCGGUAAAUAAAAAAAAUCGAUAUUUUA